rnacentral:rRNA from 1 species
CUACCAUGCAGUCGACGAGGUCCAUCCUUCGGGAGAGACCUAGUGGCGAACGGGUGAGUAACACGUGAGGAACCUGCCCCGGAGACCGGGAUAACCACCUGAAAGGUGGCUAAUACCGGAUGUCCCCAUCCCACCGCAUGGAGGGAUGAGGAAAUGGAUUCCGCUCCGGGAGGGCCUCGCGGCCUAUCAGCUAGUUGGUGAGGUAACGGCUCACCAAGGCAUCGACGGGUAGCUGGUCUGAGAGGAUGAUCAGCCACACUGGGACUGAGACACGGCCCAGACUCCUACGGGAGGCAGCAGUGGGGAAUCUUGCGCAAUGGGCGAAAGCCUGACGCAGCAACGCCGCGUGGGGGAUGAAGGCUCUCGGGUUGUAAACCCCUUUCAGCAGGGACGAAUUUUGACGGUACCUGCAGAAGAAGCCCCGGCUAACUACGUGCCAGCAGCCGCGGUAACACGUAGGGGGCAAGCGUUGU